rnacentral:misc_RNA from 1 species
UCUAAGACCUUCAAUCUCGUCUCUUAGACCUGUUGUAUGUCGCUUCUCACAGUCUCAGGCCUCAGUUGUUGAUGGCAGAAUCGAUACUAGAGUCUCUGAGAGGAAUGAGGUUCGUCUAGGUUUGCCUAGUAAAGGCCGUAUGGCUUCUGAUACUCUUGAUCUGCUCAAGGACUGUCAAUUGUCCGUCAAGCAGGUCAAUCCACGACAA